rnacentral:lncRNA from 1 species
AAAUUUCAUAGGUUUAACAAAAACGUUUUCAUCAUUCAAACAAUCCAAUCAAAUUUCAUAGGUUUAACAACAACAUUUUCAUCAUGCACACAAUUCAAUUAAAUUUCAUGGGUUUAAAAACAACAUUUUCAUCAUUCACACAAUUCAAUCAAAUUCCGUGGGUUUAACAUCAACAUUUUCAUCAUUCCCCCAAUUCAAUCAAAUUUCAUGGGUUUAGCAACAACAUUUUCAUCAUUCACACAAUUCAAUCAAAUUUCAUGGGUUUAGCAAA